UACAGAGGAUGCAAGCGUUAUCCGGAAUGAUUGGGCGUAAAGCGUCUGUAGGUGGCUUUUUAAGUCCGCCGUCAAAUCCCAGGGCUCAACUCUGGACAGGCGGUGGAAACUACCAAGCUGGAGUACGGUAGGGGCAGAGGGAAUUUCCGGUGGAGCGGUGAAAUGCGUAGAGAUCGGAAAGAACACCAAUGGCGAAAGCAGCUCUCUGGGACGGUACUGACGCUGAGACGCGAAAGCGUGGGGAGCGAACAGG
rnacentral:rRNA from 1 species